GUUUGUCUUUUAUCAUCUUUGGCUUGCCUGGAAUUUUAAAUCUUAUAUUAUUGGUUUACCAGCAAAAUUAGCUUUUAGAUUUGUCAUUGAUCUAUUAUUUUUCUACUGUCUAAAACAUCUCCUUGUGUAAACAUCAGCAUUUCUAGAAAUAAUGGUGUCCAGAUAUUAUACAGAUUGCUGGAACUUUUUAUUAUGUUUCAAUAGUCAGCCCAAAUUUCCAAAUUUUAAGGAGCAACUUCACAAACACAUUGACAUGUUAAAGAAUAGGUAUCAUUAUUUCACAGGUAACAUACUUAAGAAACCUUUUUGUGUGAAAAAGUGACUGGACUCAUACCGCAAUAUGUAGAAAUAUAUUUCCAAAUUUUUUUAUCUGCAUCUAAUAUGACAAAAUCUGUAGUGUUUUUAUCUAUAUGAAUUUCUAAAUGUUCUAUAAUAGUGAUCUUGCAUUUUUCUCUGACAUAAUUACUAUUGUGGGAAGUGUGUCUAUAACUUUUCAUAUUUUCUGACAUGUAAAGUAUCUGAUUUUAUUGUGUUGGAUCUUGAGAAAAGAAUCUAUACAAUUUUUGGUGUUUUAAAUCUACCGCUUUUUUGUUCUUGGCAUAGUAUAAUAUCAGUGUUUGUGAAUUUUCUGUGGACACUUGUGAGUUGGAAAGGAGUGGGAGGAGAAGAGAGUUAAUGAUUUUUAAGUACACACCGUAUAAAAAGGCUUUCAGUAUUUAUCUCAUUUAACCCCCACAACAACACAGUGAGGUAAGAGUUAUUAUCUACACUUUUUUUUUCAUUUGAAAAAUAGAUAUACAGUUAAGUGACUUGCCCAAUUACAUCUUGAGUACCUGGUCAUGCUGGAACUCAGAGUAGGGUGUGUGUGAUGCCAAAGGUUCCUGCCCUUUUUACUAAAUUACAGUGCCUUUCAAGGAGAUGUAAUUCCUAAUAGGGGUGUACAGAGUUUGAUGUAUAUCUAAUUGUGGUGCAUUUACUGUAUUAUUCAUUUCUUUGCUGUCUUUAUUCAAUUUUUAAUGGGGAUUUACCCAGGAUAAUUGGAUGCUGUAAUUUAAUAGUGGAUUUUUAGAAAUGUGCAUUCCCCAGGCAAUCGGUCUCAUCCAGCACAGUUAGUGGUUUCAACCACUAACUCCUCCUGGCUGUCAGCUUCCAAACAUGUAGUUUAGCUCCAGACUUGAGCUCGGCAAAUAUGUUUUUAAAAGCACAGAUGAAAUGCUUUAUCAUAUUGGAUGAUUAGUAAGGAAGAUUAAUAAGCUUUUACUACAAAGUAUUUGGAAAACAUGAAAAAUAUAAUAAAAAUCAUCUCUAAUUCCACAAGGUGAGAGAACCAUUAAUAUUUUAAUGAAUUUUCUUACUGUCCAAUUUCUCUGUCUUUAUAUGGGCACACACACAUACAUAUUUUAUUUAUCAGUUUGAUUCAAACCAAAUAUUCAAACCAUUGUAACCUCCUCUUUUUUACUUAACUAUAUAAUGUGAACAUUUUAAUAUUAUUAAAUAUUAUUCUAAAAUGUGAUUUUUUAUUAGCCUCACUGUAUUGUGUUGUGUGUAUGUAUUAUGGGAUAACAAUUACAUAUUGUUGAGCAUUCAGGACUACAAUCAUGUAAUUUUUACACAAGUUACGGGGUGGUUGUUGGUGUAAAUUUGAAUUGCACCUAGUUACAUAACAAAUGAAAUUACUAUUAAUAAAAUUUUAUUAGGCAGCGUGGCCUUGGAAUUGAGCAGCCAAGAACCAAUAGUGUUGAAAUAUGCAUUAUAUCUUUGACAAUAUCACCUUCAACAAUUUAUCUUAAUGGUACACUGCAUUGCAGCUGGAUUUCAUCAUGAACUGUCUCUCCAGCAAUAUCCCAAACCUUUCUCUCUGCAAAAUUUGCACUCUUUAGUCUUUUUCUCAGGUGGUCUAAUGCUGCCAACCUUUUCCCGUGCUGAUGACAACAGAUAUGAGAACUAAGGUGACCCUUCUAGAUAAUAAUCUUCUACAGACAGGUGAACUGGGAAAGCACAUUUUAAAUGGAAUUAAAUACUGUUGUAUAAAUCUUGAUGAGACUAUUCAUUACUAAUGGUUCUUCUAUUCUUGGCAUGCUUAGAAUUUCAUUCUACACUUUCUUGAAUCUGUUAUCUGUACAUUUUUGCUUUCCUGUAAGUGGUUUGUGAAAUAAGGAGAGCAUUUACUUUCCAUUUGACUAUGCUAUAAUAGCUUCUAAAUAGGAAAGUUGUGAGAAAAUGUUCACAUAUAAUGUGAAGCUAUUGAAUUUUUUCAUAAAAGAUGAGAAAAAGCAAAAAAAAAAAAUCUCAUUUCACCUAAUGCAUUUCACAGAUUGCCAUAAACUAAGACUCUUUAUCAUUGGAAAGAAAAUGCUGCUUUUCUUCAAUAGGAAACAUACAUAUUUGCAUUAUAACAGAAUGGGAAAGUUGUAAACAGAAGGGUAAAUUUUGGUUGUUGCUAUGCAGACUGAGCUGUCAUAACCCUCAGAGAUAUUUGGAGAAUAUUUUUACACAAAAGGUGAGGAUCUAAUAAUUUGUUCAUUAAAAUCUAUGAUUUACUUUCCAUACAUAAAUAACCCCAUAAAAUUACCAACAUCUCAAUGACUUCAGGCCUUCUAGGGCAACUUUGUCACCUAUCUUGAUGACCCUUUUAAAACUCUAGUUUCAUAACAUCACAUUUGCAGAACUUCCAUAUUCAUGUAGUUUUAGUCAAUACUGGACAUUCCAUUGAUCUCUUUGACUUACUCUACCUCUAACAUCAGAGAUACAAAAAUUUCUCUCCUAUUAUUUAAUAGUUUCCAUUCUCUUCGAGACAAGCCAUUGUGUUCAUUGUGCCAUCUUUUCCUGACCUAGCUUGGCAUUUUUCAUGUCCACUGUCACUUUCCUGGGUAUUAGGGCCUCUCUUUCCAACCUGAACUUGUUGAAUGCUUUAUUUCUUUGACUUCCUACCAUUCCUGUCUUCUAUUAUCUUAAUUAAUUUAAUCUAAAUUAAUCCCCAGAUUCUAAUUUCCACUGCUACUCUUUCUACUCCUGAGCUGUCAAGAGUUGAUAAAGGUAUGUUGCUGAGCAAAUCUAUUACACAUCCAUGCUACUUAGCCCCAUUGGGGCUGUCAUUGCUGCUCAGUAUCCCUAUUCCCCGUAUCUGCAAUGAAUGCAGCAAUUAUUUUGAGCUCUUUUCAGGUUACUAACUUGACUCCAAUCCCCCAGUUCUGAACAGAUACCUUCUAAACUAAUCAGGAGACAGGAGGCAUCUAACGUCAGUUCUGUCACUCUGUCCUUUUGCACUAUGAUUCCUCCCGCCUGCUUCUUUAUUUUAUAUAUUUGAGAAAAGCGUCCUUACUGCAAUGGUUCUCAGACUCUAGUAAAUCACAGAACCAUUUGAAGACCUUAACAAUGGAGGUUUCCUGCAUUUACCUUACAGACAACGCUUAAGCAGGUUUGUAGUGGGGCCCAAGAAUCUGAAAUUGCAUGACUACUCCAAGGAGUUCUGUUGCAGAAGGGCCAUAGGCUCACUCUGAGAAAAACUGCUUCAGGGCCAAGGCUCACUUUUGCUCGUCCUCUGAAUCUUGUCUCUUCUACUAGAAUUGAGAUAACAUGAACACCUGGCCCCACAAUAGGCUGUCUGAAAGCUGAGAGCAAGGAGAACCAGUCCGAAUCCCCAAACUGAAGAACCUGGAGUCCCAUAUUCGAUGGCAGGAAGCGUCCAGCAUGGGAGAAAGAUGCAGGCUGGGAAGCUAGACCCAUCUCUCCCUUUCACGCUUUUUUGCCUGCUUUAUAUUCGCUGGAAGC
rnacentral:lncRNA from 1 species